ACGAGUGCCUUCGGGUGCUAGUGGCGCACGGGUGCGUAACGCGUGGGAAUCUGCCCUUGGGUUCGGAAUAACUGGGAGAAAUUCCAGCUAAUACCGGAUGAUGUCGCGAGACCAAAGAUUUAUCGCCUGAGGAUGAGCCCGCGUAGGAUUAGGUAGUUGGUGGGGUAAAGGCCUACCAAGCCGACGAUCCUUAGCUGGUCUGAGAGGAUGAUCAGCCACACUGGGACUGAGACACGGCCCAGACUCCUACGGGAGGCAGCAGUGGGGAAUAUUGGACAAUGGGCGAAAGCCUGAUCCAGCAAUGCCGCGUGAGUGAUGAAGGCCUUAGGGUUGUAAAGCUCUUUUACCCGGGAUGAUAAUGACAGUACCGGGAGAAUAAGCCCCGGCUAACUCCGUGCCAGCAGCCGCGGUAAUACGGAGGGGGCUAGCGUUGUUCGGAAUUACUGGGCGUAAAGCGCACGUAGGCGGCUUUGUAAGUUAGAGGUGAAAGCCUGGAGCUCAACUCCAGAAUUGCCUUUAAGACUGCAUCGCUUGAAUCCAGGAGAGGUGAGUGGAAUUCCGAGUGUAGAGGUGAAAUUCGUAGAUAUUCGGAAGAACACCAGUGGCGAAGGCGGCUCACUGGACUGGUAUUGACGCUGAGGUGCGAAAGCGUG
rnacentral:rRNA from 1 species